ACGAACGCUGGCGGCAGGCCUAACACAUGCAAGUCGAACGCCCCGCAAGGGGAGUGGCAGACGGGUGAGUAACACGUGGGAACGUACCCUUCGGUUCGGGAUAACUCAGGGAAACUUGAGCUAAUACCGGAUACGUCCGAGAGGAGAAAGAUUUAUUGCCGAAGGAUCGGCCCGCGUCUGAUUAGCUUGUUGGUGAGGUAACGGCUCACCAAGGCGACGAUCAGUAGCUGGUCUGAGAGGAUGAUCAGCCACAUUGGGACUGAGACACGGCCCAAACUCCUACGGGAGGCAGCAGUGGGGAAUAUUGGACAAUGGGCGCAAGCCUGAUCCAGCCAUGCCGCGUGAGUGAUGAAGGCCUUAGGGUUGUAAAGCUCUUUUACCUGGGAAGAUAAUGACGGUACCAGGAGAAUAAGCCCCGGCUAAC
rnacentral:rRNA from 1 species